AGCAGUGGGGAAUAUUGGACAAUGGGCGAAAGCCUGAUCCAGCCAUGCCGCGUGUGUGAAGAAGGUCUUCGGAUUGUAAAGCACUUUAAGUUGGGAGGAAGGGCUGUAGGCUAAUAUCCUGCGGUUUUGACGUUACCAACAGAAUAAGCACCGGCUAACUUCGUGCCAGCAGCCGCGGUAAUACGAAGGGUGCAAGCGUUAAUCGGAAUUACUGGGCGUAAAGCGCGCGUAGGUGGUUCGUUAAGUUGGAUGUGAAAGCCCCGGGCUCAACCUGGGAACUGCAUCCAAAACUGGCGAGCUAGAGUACGGUAGAGGGURGUGGAAUUUCCUGUGUAGCGGUGAAAUGCGUAGAUAUAGGAAGGAACACCAGUGGCGAAAGCGRCA
rnacentral:rRNA from 1 species